rnacentral:misc_RNA from 1 species
GAUGAAGAACGUAGCGAAAUGCGAUAAGUAAUGUGAAUUGCAGAAUUCAGUGAAUCAUCGAAUCUUUGAACGCUCAUUGCGCCCGCCAGUAUUCUGGCGGGCAUGCCUGUUCGAGCGUCAUUUCAACCAUCAAGCCCCCGGCUUGUGUUGGGGACCUGCGGCUGCCGCAGGCCCUGAAAACCAGUGGCGGGCUCGCUGUCACACCGAGCGUAGUAGAUUUUCAUCUCGCUCAGGGCGUGCUGCGGGUUCCGGCCGUAAAAAGCCUUAUUUACCCAAGGUUGACCUCGGAUCAGGUAGGAAGACCCGCUGAACUUAAGCAUAUCAAUAAGCGGAGGA